GUCGGGUUCCUAACCGGAGCCGGGGCCCUGGAAAGGCAAGGGGCCUGAGAGGGGCCGGGCCUACCCCUAUGCGCCGCAGGGACCCCGGAAUGGACCUGACGUUGGACUGAGCACUGACCUUAGAAGCACAGGCUCCGGACGCGCAGGCUCAGCGGCCAUAGCUCACGGGCCCAGCCGCUCCACGGCAUGUGGACUCUUCCUGGACCGGGGCACGAACCCAUGUCUCCUGCAUCAGCAAGCGGACUCUCAACCACUGCGCCACCAGUUUUAGGUUCACAGCAAAACUGAGCGGGAAGUGCAGAGUUCCCGUAUACCCCUGUCUACACAGCCUGCCCUACUAUCAACAUCCUGCACCAGAGGAGUACAUUUGUUACAAUCCCUGUACCUACACUGAUGCAUCGUUAUCACCUGAAGUUCUCCAGAAUGUUUUCGUCUUGUGGAACUGAAACUCCAUACCCAUUAAACAGCGACUGCCCAUCCUCCAUUUGCCCCAGCUCCUGGCAGCCACCAUCCUACUUCCUGUCACUAUGAAUUUGACUACUCUAGAUGGGAAGACAACUUAGCCAGCAGAGACACCUGCCCCCAUGGAGAGUACCUGGAAUGAUUCAGCCAGGUUUCCUGGUUUGGACGGGUCCCCUUCCUCCUACACCAUUCCUGGACACCUGUCUCAAAGCUCUGACUGAUCUCCCUCCAAGAGAAUAGCCUUCCCAGACAGAUCUCUCUGUGCAGCAGUCUGAGGCCAGAACUACAUUUCCCAGGAUCCCUUGCAGCUAGAACACAAGCAUGUGACCCAGACUCCACCAAUCAGAUGCACCAUUGUGAGAAGGCACCUGGAGGAAUUCUUUCCUAGGGGCCUCAGGGGAGCAGUCAUUGAGCUCUCAGGGCAGCAGGAGCAGAGGUGGUGGUGUCCUAUCUCAGUAACUAAAGUGCCAAUGGCACCUUCACUCCAGCAGUGGUGGGAAAGUGAGUUGGGUAUUGUUCCAGGCUGUAGAGCCUCCAGGUAUGAUCUUCUGGCCUUCCUAGAAAUUCUGUAAGCCACACAAUUAUCCUUCAAUAAAUCAG